rnacentral:rRNA from 1 species
GAUGAACGCUAGCGGGAGGCUUAACACAUGCAAGUCGAGGGGCAGCAUAGGGUAGCAAUACUCUGAUGGCGACCGGCAAACGGGUGAGUAACGCGUAUGCAACCUACCCUGUACAGGGGGAUAACCCGGAGAAAUUCGGACUAAUAUCCCGUAAUAAUAUCCGGAGGCAUCUUUGGAUAUUUAAAGUUUCGACGGUACGGGAUGGGCAUGCGUAACAUUAGCUGGUUGGUAAGGUAACGGCUUACCAAGGCUAUGAUGUUUAGGGGUCCUGAGAGGGUGGUCCCCCACACUGGUACUGAGACACGGACCAGACUCCUACGGGAGGCAGCAGUGAGGAAUAUUGGUCAAUGGGCGCAAGCCUGAACCAGCCAUCCCGCGUGCAGGAAGACGGCCCUAUGGGUUGUAAACUGCUUUUCCAGGGAGAGAAACUUACGCACGUGUUGCGUGACUGACGGUACCCUGGGAAUAAGCAUCGGCUAACUCCGUGCCAGCAGCCGCGGUAAACGUAG